rnacentral:RNase_P_RNA from 1 species
GUUUUCGGGUAAUUACAGCAGCUCCAAGGAGUUGUUGAGGAAAGUCCAUGCUCUCACAAGCUGAGAUGCUUGUAGUGUUCGUGCUUAGCGAAAUCAUAAGCUAAGGUGCUCUUUAUUGAGCAACGGCAGCUAAAAAAGCUACGGCGUAAGCUAUGCUUGAGUAGGCUUGAAAGUGCCACAGUGACGAAGCGGCUUUAGAAAUAAAGUCGGUGGAACGGGUAAACCCCUCGAGAGAGCAACCCAAAUUCAGGUAGGGGCAUUCUUUUCAAGGAAAUGAACUAAGAAAAGAGACGGAGAUUUUCUCCGUAGACAGAUUAUUACCGUUGAUUUUUUCUCCUGAGAAAAAUCAAUACAGAACAUGGCUUAUAGAA